rnacentral:rRNA from 1 species
AGGGGAGCCGGAGGGAAACCGAGUCUUAAUUGGGCGUUAAGUUGCAGGGUAUAGACCCGAAACCCGGUGAUCUAGCCAUGGGCAGGUUGAAGGUUGGGUAACACUAACUGGAGGACCGAACCGACUAAUGUUGAAAAAUUAGCGGAUGACCUGUGGCUGGGGGUGAAAGGCCAAUCAAACCGGGAGAUAGCUGGUUCUCCCCGAAAGCUAUUUAGGUAGCGCCUCGUGAAUUCAUCUCCGGGGGUAGAGCACUGUUUCGGCUAGGGGGCCAUCCCGGCUUACCAACCCGAUGCAAACUGCGAAUACCGGAGAAUGUUAUCACGGGAGACACACGGCGGGUGCUAACGUCCGUCGUGAAGAGGGAAACAACCCAGACCGCCAGCUAAGGUCCCAAAGUCAUGGUUAAGUGGGAAACGAUGUGGGAAGGCCCAGACAGCCAGGAUGUUGGCUUAGAAGCAGCCAUCAUUUAAAGAAAGCGUAAUAGCUCACUGGUCGAGUCGGCCUGCGCGGAAGAUGUAACGGGGCUAAACCAUGCACCGAAGCUGCGGCAGCGAACGUAUCACCCAAGACAACUUUACGGAGUUGACGAUUGACGGAGCGAAGCGACGUCAAAGCGUUCAUUAAAGUCGAGUUGGCUUAGGGAUACGUUCGUUGGGUAGGGGAGCGUUCUGUAAGCCUGUGAAGGUGUGUCGUGAGGCAUGCUGGAGGUAUCAGAAGUGCGAAUGCUGACAUAAGUAACGAUAAAGCGGGUGAAAAGCCCGCUCGCCGGAAGACCAAGGGUUCCUGUCCAACGUUAAUCGGGGCAGGGUGAGUCGACCCCUAAGGCGAGGCCGAAAGGCGUAGUCGAUGGGAAACGGGUUAAUAUUCCCGUACUUGGUGUUACUGCGAAGGGGGGACGGAGAAGGCUAUGUUGGCCGGGCGACGGUUGUCCCGGUUUAAGCGUGUAGGUGUGUGUUCCAGGUAAAUCCGGUUCACUUUAACACUGAGGCGUGACGACGAGGCACUACGGUGCUGAAGCAACAAAUGCCCUGCUUCCAGG